rnacentral:misc_RNA from 1 species
AAAGUCGUAACAAGGUCUCCGUAGGUGAACCUGCGGAGGGAUCAUUCACAUGAUAUACCUUUAACAAACUGUGAACUAUAUAUACUAUUCGUAGUCAUUAUUUAUGAUGUACUACUGUCAUUCGAUGAACAUUAGAUAGUUGGCUUGUUUUUGUAUUUCUUAAUCGAUCUACAUAAAACUUUCUCAGCUGAUUGUUUUGUUGACUAAACAUCAACCUACAAUCACCAAAAAACAUAGAAACAACUCUAUGCCCUGGAUAUCUUGGUUCUC